ACCACGUGUGCCGCGUGCACCUGCGUCUGCCGCUGCCCUGCGCCUGCCAGGUCUGCCCCAAGAGAUAUCCACGCAUGUCGUUACUUCGAGAUCACAUGAAGAAGAAACACGGAUUAACGUUGAUGACACGCAAGAUGUUCUUCAAAGCACUUCCAACCAUGUCGGAAUGGGAGUUACAGCAGGCAAAGGAAAUUUUGGAGUCUGACACUCCGCUCAUCAACUUGUCUUCAGACAUACAUGGCUUAUAGCCGGAGGAGCUCUUAUAAGGGUUAAGGGUUUAACCCUUUAACCGCCAGCGACGUUUAAAGGGUAGAAGCCACGUCUUGCUGAGAGCCAUGUGAGUUAUUUUCAAGUCCGUCACUCAACUUCCAAAGAUUGUUUGUAUGAAUUGUUGAUGUCUGAUUUGAUGAUGUCUAUAUGAUUGAUUUUUAUUUGUAUCACUAUAGGUUUUGGAACGACACUGAAUUAUUAAUCUACUCUCAUGAAUCGAUUCAAAAUUAUUGAAAAUUUUAUAUUCAGGUCUAGUUUUAAAGCUUACAAACGAUUUUAACUACAGUCUGAGGCAAGCAGGUUUGGGUCUUCCCCCAAACUUAGACUGAAUUAAAAAAAUUAAGCUCGAUUGCAAAUGAAUUAAAUUAUAAUUGCUGAUUUUUUAAAAAUUGAAUUUAAAAUGUACAUAGAUAAAUGAAAUACUGUGUUCUGUGAAUACAUAAAUAUUUGUAAGGGAUAUUUAUAUUGUAAAUAAAUUACAACGGUUUUAAUACGAAAAAGUGUUUUAUUACGCACUUAUUAUUUCAACCAAAUGUUUACGAUAUAUUCAUCUAUAGCAUAAUGCAUACACAAUCGUUAGAAGACACCACGAAUUUAUAAUGCUUCGUUACAUACUAGGAAAAUACAAAAAUAUUAAGCGGUUUCUUGGUAAACACCUACCGGGAUAUCUUAUUUUUAAAAUAUGCGAAAUGUACACGUACAUUGUGAAAUGCACCUUUUAUAAAUACGAUGUCCUUUAUCUUGGUCAUUAGUUAACACUCCAAGACCUUUGUUCUCGACAUUUCUAAAAGAUUGUCCAUUAUUUUAAUACAUCAAGGUAGUCCAUAAAUAUUUUGGGUAACACUGUCGUGUGUAGACUUUUUU